GUGAAAUAAUUUAUGAUAUGUCGUACAUCCUCAUAACUACAUACAUGCGAUGAUUUAAUAGCGUUUUUACGAGAUGGAAAAAAAUAUUGUAAUUCGGACCAUACAGCUUUAAAAGAAUAAGCAAUGCUUUGUUGUUUUAAUGUUCCUCAUUGUUAAUAAUCGUUUACAUAUUUCGUAAUGUCCCAUUGAAUUAAUCGAAGCAUUCUCAUUUACAUGUGUAAUCUUUUCGCCCUUAGUUUAACACUAGUACAAUAUUCCUUGGUUAUCUCUUAUCGGUAUUGGUCGACCAACAUGUCGUUCCUUAUAACAUCGAUAACUCUGCUUGUUUUGUUCAGUGAUUCAAAAUGUUGUAAGCCAGGCUGGUUGGAAUUCGAAGACAAAUGUUACUGGUUUUCAAACUCUAAUCUGGACUGGUAUAGAGCUUCGAGCUGUUGCCAGGCUUUGAGUUCCAAACUAGCAGAACCACUAACAACAGACGCAAUGAACUUUAUGUCAAGUGAAACUAUAACCAAAGAUAUAAAAGGGCAAACAACAUAGCUGGAUAAAGCAUCCUAAGUCUGCACCUCGUAAAGCUAUGACAAUGAGAGAAAUGUAUUCACCCAGGCAAUCAGAAUAUAGAGUGCAACCCGGAAGGUGCGCUGCAGCCCAAAGAGAGUCAUGGUUAUUGGCAUCAAGUUCUCCAUCAGCUUUACCUCACAGGCACCACUUGUGAUUUCAUAGUUUGAACACCAAUGAACAUGGAAGUGAUUCUCAUCCUUCGAGAUGAAUUAUGGGAAUUAUACUUGACAUACAUGAUUGAGCCUUUGUGCCUUCUCUGCAAUAACCAACUAGACAGACUUGUGAAAAUUCAAAUGUCUUCCAUUAGUUUUAUUUUGUUUUUGCUACAAAUGAUCAGUGUGAAGAUGUGCAUGAAUCACCAUUGUAACAAUUUCUUUGACUAGCAACCUUAAAUAAAUGUUCACUUUAUCAUUUACUUGAAUGCAUUUAAUACAACUUGACAAUCCAGAAUAAUGUGAGUAAGAAGUUGUACAUUUAUAGUAUCUAAGUCCAAAGGUAAGAUUUAAUUAAUUGUGAAAUUCAUAUCAGCUAUUUCCUUCAGUAGAGGAUUUGCAAAUGUACAAGAGUCACACAGAGUUGAAAAUCUUAGUGGACAGAUAUAUAUGUCUGUAUUGUGAAGGUAUAUGAUUUAGAAUAUGGAUGUUUUUAAUUAAAUUCAAUUGCACACUCC